GCAGGCUCUGCGUAAAGCAGGUGCCAUCAUUAUCAGAUUAGCUGGGUCUGCUUGGAAGGGUCUGUCGCAAUCUGGCUGCUUGACUCCUGAUAUGCUCUCAUAGGAGGAGGAGGUUGAGAACCACUGUCAGGAACUAAUUUAUCAGGAGGUCUAAUGAACAUGCAGAAAUAAGUGGUCCCGAGCUCAAUUCCCAGCAACCACAUGGUGGAUCUGUCUAUUAUGGGAUCUGGUGCCCUCUUCUGGCCUGCAGGAAGUCCACCAGAGAUGAGCACUCAGACACUGUUUAUAGACAACUGAAAGUCUUUUUCUAGCCAUCUGGGACUACACUCAGGUAUUCAAGACUCAAGUGUGGGCCUGAGUGUCCAGAGCAUGGGGUUUUUGAAGGUAAAAUCCAGGUCUUGGCAUCUCACUCAGCAGGUGCAGGGGCUUUGCUAAGCAGUUCGCUGCAGGGGGUUUUGCACAAGCAGGCAGUUUAACAGAAGCUAAGAUAAGCUAGCCGUGGCAUCUUGACCCUGGGUUCCUAGAAUAGAGUUGGGUAGUUUUCCAUGGGCUUCUCUGUCAAGGAGAUCAAAUUCUAGAUAAGCCUGAAAUGGCCUCAGCAAGCAUUCAAGAUGGAGGAACCUCUGCACUGUCUUGCCUUGUUACAUUCCCUACUGGUUCUAUGGACUUGAGUCAAAUGGUUAACUUAUGUUCUAGGGGGGCACAGAUGGUCCUAAGGACCAGUUGCUUAACUGACUUUAUUUUCUGUGAUGUAGUUUGUCAUGUAGUUGAGAAUGCAGGGUUCAAUCAUUAGCCUGAUCAGAAUAAAA